rnacentral:lncRNA from 1 species
GUGCAUCUCCUAAUCCUCCAAAGAACAACCAAGACUUCAUCUUGAAGUAUUCGAAAGGGUUAAUAUCAAAAGAGAAAAAAGUGCUUGUUCUGGGAGGUAAUGCUGUAAAGCUUCAAGAUAAGGAGAUGGUUAAUCUGAUUAGCGAAUCUUCGGCUAGGGGAAUCCCUAGUGGACAGGGACUGCUGCCAUGUGGUGAUAAGAAGCGUAAGAUUUCAAAGGCAGGACACAAUGAAGAGAUUGAUGAACGAUCAAAAUCAAACAAUUCUGGAUCUGAAGAGCAAUUCACCUUGGAUGAUAGAACCAAAUCGCAUGCUUUGGCUAGAUCACAAGUACCGUUUGAACGUGGGCUCCCUCAGAAGGGGAUAACUGACACAGCUCAUCAUUCUAACGUGUUGUGUACCGGAGACAAGGAAGCAAAAGGGUCAGACUUUCUAAAUCAGG